ACGCUCGACACCUACGGGCGGCAGCAGUGGGGAAUAUUGCACAAUGGGGGAAACCCUGAUGCAGCGACGCCGCGUGAGCGAAGAAGUAUUUCGGUAUGUAAAGCUCUAUCAGCAGGGAAGAAACUGACGGUACCUGACUAAGAAGCACCGGCUAAAUACGUGCCAGCAGCAGCGGUAAUCUGAGCGGGCUGGCAAGGC
rnacentral:rRNA from 1 species